UUUUCCAAAUUUUCCCGAAAGCACACUCAGGCCUCAGCUCACAUUUAUUUUUUGUUUCCCUCCAAAGCACACUCAUCACCUCCAAAGCGCGAAGAAAACCCUUUCAGAGAGCUGACCAUCGCAAAGAUCGAAAACCUUCUCACUACCGCCAUUGCCCGUCGUCGCCCCCCACUCACCACUCAUCACAUCGCUGCACACUCACCACUCACGGCCACACACUAUCGCUGCGCACUGACCGUCGCUCCUCUUCACCCUCCUACACUGAUCAUCGCUGCACCGCCCUCACUAUCGUCGAUCUCUGCGCUUCUCAUCGUUGUCUCUGUGCUCACGUCGUCGAUUAGAAGGGAGCUCGAAGAGUUAGGUGUGACACUUCCAAAGGAUGCAUUCGAACUGAUUUUUGUUUUCCUCCAAGAGUGAUUCUUGGCAAAUAGACAUUCUGCACAUAGGAAGCUGCAAUACAUAUCAAAGUUAGAGAGAAAUGUAACUUUAUUUCAGGAUAAUAUUGAGGAUGAUAAUGAAGAUUAAGCUGAUUAUUAUUGUGGUUUAUUGGCUAACACUUUGAAUGUCAAGAUGAACACCAAAAAAACUUUGAAGAUCAAGAUGAACACUAAGAACAAAUUUUAAAAAUUUUUAAGAAAAAGGACACCAAACUUAAAAAUUUUUAUACUUGGAACACUAAUAAUUCGAAAAUGUAUAAGAUAAAAAGCAACAAAAGACACGAAACUAAAAAAUUUUUAGAAAAUCAAACACAAUUUUUUGAAAAUAAAAAAGAAAAAGCACAAAGAGGACACCACACUUAAAACAUGAAGUUAAACUCAAACAAAAGACUCUAAACCAACAAAAAUAAACUAUUCCUAAUCUAAGCAACAAGAUAAAUAUUCUGUUGUUCAAACUCGAACAAUUCCCGACAACAGCGCCAAAAAUUUGGUGCAUAGAAGUGUGAUUCACACUUCUCACAACUUCGGUGCCACUAACCAGCAAGUGCACUAGGUCGUUCAAGUAAUACCUUACGUGAGUAAGGGUCGAUCCUACGGAAAUUGUCGGCUUGAAGCAAUUUAUGGUUAUCUUGUAAAUCUUAGUCAGGAGAUUAAGAAAAAGAGUUUUGUUUGUAAAAAGCAAAAGAACAUGAAAUGAAUAAUACUUGUUAUGCAGUGAUGGAGAACAGGUUGAGGUUUUGGAGAUAUUCUGUCUUCUGAAUCUCUGCUUUCCUUCUGUUGUCUUCUUCACGCACGCAAGGCUCUUUCCAUGGCAAGCUGUAUGUUGGUGGAUCACCGUUGUCAAUGGCUACCAUCCGUCCUCUCAGUGAAAAUGGUCCAAUUAUGGUUUCGUAGGGCUAAUCAUCUGUCGGUUCUCACUCGUGUUGGAAUAGGAUUCAUUGAUUCUUUUGCACACUAUCACUGCGCCCAACAUUUGUGAGUUUGAAACUCGUCACAGUCACCCCUUCUCAGAUCCUACUCGGAAUAUCACUGACAAGGUUUAGACUUUCCGGAUCUUAAGAGUGCUACCAAUUGAUUCUAGUUUAUACCACGAAGAUUCUGGUUUCACGGAUUUGAUCACUCUGUUGUCAAGAGAGGCAAUCAAACUCGUGAACUAGGAACCCAAGAGAUACACACUCAAUCUAAGGUAGAACGGAAGUGGUUGUCAGGCACGCAUUCAUAAGUUGGGAAUGGUAAUGAGUGUCACGGAUCAUCACAUUCAUCAUGUUGAAGUGCGAAUGAAUAUCUUAGAAUAGAAACAAGUGUGAUUGAAUAGAAAACAGAAAUAAUUGCAUUAAUCCAUCGAGACACAGCAGAGCUCCUCACCCCUAACCAUGGGGUUUAGAGACUCAUGCCGUAGAAGAUAAAAAUUCAGAUGUAAAAUAUCGUGAGGUACAAAAUGAAUCUCUAAAAGUAGUUUUUAUACUAAACUAGUAACAAAGGUUUAUAGAAAAAUGGAUAAACUAAGAUAGAUAGUGCAGAAAUUCACUUCCGGGGCCAACUUGGUGUGUGUUUGGGCUGAGCAUUGAAGCUUUCACGUGCAUAGUCUAUUCCUGGAUUUAAACGCCAGCUUUGGUGUCAGUUUGGGCGUUUAACUCCAACUUUUAUUCCAGUUCUGGCGUUUAACGCCAGAAAAGGGUAGAAAAUUGGCGUUAAAAUGCCAGUUUGCGUUAUCAAUACUCGGGCAAAGUAUGGACCAUUAUAUAUUGCUGGAAAUCCCAAGAUGUCUACUUUCCAACGCAAUUGAGAGCGCGCCAAUUGGGCUUAUGUAACUUCAGAAAAUUCAUUUUGAGUGCAGGGAGGUCAGAAUCCAACAGCAUCUGCAGUCUUUUUUCAGCCUCUGAAUCAGAUUUUUGUUCAGGUCCCUCAAUUUCAGCCAGGAAAUACCUGAAAUUACAGAAAAACACACAAACUCAUAGUAAAGCCCAAAAAUGUGAUUUUUGCAUAAAAACUAAUAAAAAAACUAAAAACUAACUAAAAAUCAUACUAAAAACUAUGUAAAAACAAUGCAAAAAGCGUAUAAAUUAUCCGCUCAUCACGUAGCCUUUGGUGUAGAAAAGUGUAGCCUUUGAGAAUAGGCAACGGCCGAAUAAGAAUCACCACAGAAAGCGUAGCCAUAGCCUAAGACAUCACUUUUUUUUUUUUAUUUUUGGCUACACUUUUUAAGUGUACCUGAAUGGGUGUUUUUCUUGUAGUGGGGUCCUUUCUGUCCUUGUCCACAACACAAAAUCGAUGGCGUUUUGAGGGUUCCAGAAUUUAGGCCUCCUAGGAAGAACUAGAAAUCUAGGCCCACUCCUGGAUUUAGGCCUCCUAGGAAGAAUUAGAAGUGUAGUCCUAGGUUUAUAUCCCAACAAGUAGAUGAUUACUUUUUGAUAAACUAGCUUACAUACAGCCACAAUAAACAGUUUUUUGCUUUCUGUUUUGAUAGCCUAUGUGAAUUAAGGACCUAUAAUACUUUAUUUAUCUGUGUUGCUGAUGUUGGUAUAGGGCUAUAUGUUGUCCACUUUUGGAGUUAUUUUGUACACAACAUGUUGGCAUUUGGUGGCUGUAUGAAGUUGUUAAUGUUACAUAUUACUGUUACUUAUUACUGAAUUACUUUUCAUGGAAUGAAAGAAUUCGAGUAUAACACAUUCUAUUUUUUGACACAAUGAAUCUUUUCUAAACAACCAACACAAUUGUUUCAUUUAAUAAUCUCGGAUUCACACUGUUAAGUGAUACAAUACAACUAUUUCAGCAACAGGUACUUCCAACACAAAACCAACAUCAUACACUAACUAUCUGCUAUACAGUCUAACGACUAACAGAGAUAAUUUGCAAAUACAACUCCAAUGACAAACACAACAGAUAUCAAUGGAUAACUAAACCUCCUAUUACACUUAACAUGCCUAGAAUUUUUCAUCUGCAAUUCUAACCUAAAACUCUGUCCUCUAGCUUUGUCACUUUUUCCUCCAUCAAAAAGCUGCAUCCAACAAAUUAUUUUGCUUUGGAUUCCAAGCAUAAGGAUUGUCAACAUUUAUUUGCUCCUCUUGAAACAAUGAAACAUAUUCAUCUAGCCACUGAAAAUAUUUGCAAUGACAUUCUGCAAUUUGCACAGUAAAAAAAAAGGAAAACUCAAAUUGCAACAAAGAGAUGCUUGCUAUAGAUCUUGGCAGGAAUAUCAACAUAACUACCUAUUUCAUACCUUAAAAUUUGGACAUCCAAAGAAUAGCCUCUUAGGGUUCGACUGUGUUGACGACAUGAAUAGAAUUGCAUGAAUCCCAUAAUUGCAUUUCGGGACAACGAAUCUUUUCUAAUCUUUUCUUCUUUCUCGCUCCAGCACUACCAACGGAGCUCACAAAAAUACUCCUACCCUCAUCGUUCGACGCAUCUCUUCCAAUCCCACGAUCUUUGCUAUUGCUCAUGGUGGUAUCGGUUCCAUACACGAAACAGGGAAGAUAGACGACCAGACUCGUCUAAUAAAGACGCCUGGAACCCUCAAAACACCAUUGUUUUUGUGUUGUGGACGAAGACAAAAAGGACCCUGUCCAUUUCACCUAGCCACAUGGGAUUUCAUCUUCCACGUAACUACCCAAGCCAUCCGUGUCAUACCCUUGCCUUCACACGUCAGUAAUUUUCGUCGAGUUUUUGCUGUGAAAGUGAUAGAAGGACCGGGUUGGCAAACGGAAUACAGGGUCAUGGAUUGAAAUAAAACCUGUUUUUGGUUAAGGGUCGCCUUGUCAUUUGAGGAAAUAGACAGGAAUCGAGUUGGUACUUCACUCGUUGAAAAAAGGGUUAAAGUUUAAAAAAAAACAUCUUAAAGAGUUAAACUUAUCUCUUUAAAUGAAAACUAGAAUAAUAAAUGAUUAUUUGAUUAGAUUUGCAGUGUUGAGAUAAUCAUCUAGCAAGUUAAAAAUAAAUUAAAUUAAAUGUCUUUUCAUUAUAUGACAUGUAGUAGUAAACAUUCAAAUUUUUUAGACAUU